AGUGAACGCUGGCGGUAGGCCUAACACAUGCAAGUCGAACGGCAGCACAGUAAGAGCUUGCUCUUACGGGUGGCGAGUGGCGGACGGGUGAGGAAUACAUCGGAAUCUACUUUUUCGUGGGGGAUAACGUAGGGAAACUUACGCUAAUACCGCAUACGACCUACGGGUGAAAGCAGGGGAUCUUCGGACCUUGCGCGAUUGAAUGAGCCGAUGUCGGAUUAGCUAGUUGGCGGGGUAAAGGCCCACCAAGGCGACGAUCCGUAGCUGGUCUGAGAGGAUGAUCAGCCACACUGGAACUGAGACACGGUCCAGACUCCUACGGGAGGCAGCAGUGGGGAAUAUUGGACAGUGGGCGCAAGCCUGAUCCAGCCAUACCGCGUGGGUGAAGGAGGCCUUCGGGUUGUAAAGCCCUUUUGUUGGGAAAGAAAAGCAGCAGGUUAAUACCCCGCUGUUCUGACGGUACCCAAAGAAUAAGCACCGGCUAACUUCGUG
rnacentral:rRNA from 1 species